UAAGCGGAGGAAAAGAAACUAACAAGGAUUCCCUUAGUAACUGCGAGUGAAGAGGGAAAAGCUCAAAUUUAAAAUCUAGUAGUCUUUGGCUACUUGAGUUGUAAUCUAGAGAAGUAUUAUCCGUACUGGACCAUGUAUAAGUCUCCUGGAAUGGGGCAUCAUAGAGGGUGAGAAUCCCGUCUUUGACAAUGGACUUCCAGUGCUUUGUGAUAUGCUCUCAACGAGUCGAGUUGUUUGGGAAUGCAGCUCUAAAUGGGUGGUAAAUUCCAUCUAAAGCUAAAUAUUGGCGAGAGACCGAUAGCGAACAAGUACCGUGAGGGAAAGAUGAAAAGAACUUUGGAAAGAGAGUUAAACAGUACGUGAAAUUGUUGAAAGGGAAACGCUUGAAGUCAGUCACAUUGAUUAGAGAUCAACCUUGCUUCUUCUGCUUGGUGUAUUUUCUGUUCAAUGGGUCAGCAUCAAUUUUGAUCAGUGGAAAAAGAUUGUAGGGAAUGUGGCAUCUCCGGAUGUGUUUAUAGCCCUCUGUUGUAUACAUUGAUUAAGAUUGAGGAAUUCAGCACGCCGAAAGGCCGGGUUUUAACCACGUUCGUGCUUAGGAUGCUGGCAUAAUGGCUUUAAUCGACCCGUCUU
rnacentral:rRNA from 1 species